rnacentral:tRNA from 1 species
UCUAAUGUGGCAGAAAAGUGCAAUGGAUUUAAGCUCCUUAUAUAAAGAAUAUUCUUUCGUUAGAA